rnacentral:rRNA from 2 species
CCUACGGGGGGCAGCAGUAGGGAAUCUUCCACAUUUGGGCGCAGCCUGAUGGAGCAACACCGCGUGAGUGAAGAAGGGUUUCGGCUCGUAAAGCUCUGUUGUUAAAGAAGAACACGUAUGAGAGUAACUGUUCAUACGUUGACGGUAUUUAACCAGAAAGUCACGGCUAACUACGUGCCAGCAGCCGCGGUAAUACGUAGGUGGCAAGCGUUAUCCGGAUUUAUUGGGCGUAAAGAGAGUGCAGGCGGUUUUCUAAGUCUGAUGUGAAAGCCUUCGGCUUAACCGGAGAAGUGCAUCGGAAACUGGAUAACUUGAGUGCAGAAGAGGGUAGUGGAACUCCAUGUGUAGCGGUGGAAUGCGUAGAUAUAUGGAAGAACACCAGUGGCGAAGGCGGCUACCUGGUCUGCAACUGACGCUGAGACUCGAAAGCAUGGGUAGCGAACAGGAUUAGAUACCCUGGGUAGC